rnacentral:piRNA from 3 species
UAGCCAAUGAGGUUUAUCCGAGGCGCG